rnacentral:tRNA from 1 species
GCAGCCGUGGCCUACUGGUUAGGGCUUUGGGCUUCAAACCGAAGGGUUGCUGGUUCGAUCCCCGACCAGUAGGA